rnacentral:rRNA from 1 species
UACGAAGGGGGCUAGCGUUGUUCGGAAUUACUGGGCGUAAAGCGCACGUAGGCGGAUAUUUAAGUCGGGGGUGAAAUCCUGGAGCUCAACUCCAGAACUGCCUUCGAUACUGGCGAGCUCGAGUUCGGGAGAGGUGAGUGGAACUGCGAGUGUAGAGGUGAAAUUCGUAGAUAUUCGCAAGAACACCAGUGGCGAAGGCGGCUCACUGGCC